GAUUCCAGGAAUGUCACUCUGAAGUCUAGAACAGGGGUUCUCAAACUGUGGGUCAGGACCCCAAAGUGGGUCAUGACCCCAUUUGAAUGGGGUCACCACAGCUGGUGUUAGACUUGCUGGGUUCCAGGGCCGAAGCCCGAGCCCCACCACGCAGGGCCAAAGCUUCAGCCCUGGGCAGGUGGGCUAAACUUACAUGCACGCUGCCCAGGGCAGAAGCUCUGGGGCAGCUUUGCCACCCCACUUCCUCCCCCCCUCCCCCCCCGAAGUGAGUCACAGUGCCGUUUGAGAACUCCUGGCCUGGAACAUCUGUUGAGUCAGCGUGGAGCAGUGGAAAGAGCUACAGAGUCUGAGGCUACAGAAAACUCUGAAGAGAUUUAGGAUGCAAUUUGUAGAGCUUGUUGAAGAGGUCUGCUGUUGUAAUGGCUGCAGAGGGCAGCAACAUCAUGCAUGAGGAUAUAAAAGGUCUAAGCCAAUGCAUGUUGAAGUCAAUGGGAACUGGUAAAAAAGUGCAGUGACAUCAAGGAAACUACUCCCAGUGCACAAACUUCAGCACAUGCAUAAGUCUUUGGAGGAUCAAGGUUUGACUGUAAGCUGUUUGGGGCAAGGUUAAUCAUUUUCUAUAUGUUUA